rnacentral:rRNA from 1 species
GGAGGGGGCAAGCGUUGUUCGGAAUUACUGGGCGUAAAGGGCGCGUAGGCGGUAUGCCAUGUCAGGGGUGAAAGGCCUGGGCUCAACCCAGGAACUGCCUUUGAAACUGGCAAACUAGAGUCCGAUAGAGGAUGGUGGAAUUCCCAGUGUAGAGGUGAAAUUCGUAGAUAUUGGGAAGAACACCAGUGGCGAAGGCGGCCAUCUGGAUCGGCACUGACGCUGAGGCGCGAAAGCGUGGGGAGCAAACAGGGAUUAGAUACCCUGGUAGUCCACGCCGUAAACGAUGUGUGCUAGACGUUGGGGGUCUUAGACCCUGGGUGUCGUAGCUAACGCGUUAAGCACACCGCCUGGGGGAGUACGGCCGCAAGGUUA